rnacentral:rRNA from 1 species
UACGUAGGGCGCAAGCGUUGUCCGGAAUUAUUGGGCGUAAAGAGCUCGUAGGCGGUCUGUUACGUCUGCUGUGAAACCCAGGGCUUAACCCUGGGCUUGCAGUGGAUACGGGCAGACUAGAGGCAGGUAGGGGAGAAUGGAAUUCCCGGUGUAGCGGUGAAAUGCGCAGAUAUCGGGAGGAACACCGGUGGCGAAGGCGGUCUCUGGGCCUGACCUGACGCUGAGGAGCGAAAGCGUGGGGAGCGAACAGGAUUGAGAU